UACCCAUUCGUCUAACGGCAAGACUACUGGCUCUGGACCAGUCAAUCGAGGUUCGAAUCCUUGGUGGGUAGC
rnacentral:tRNA from 1 species